AUAAUGAUAAACAGAUAAGUGAUAAACAAAGUUACAAACCAGCCAGGGAGGGCCCAAAUACUUAAGUUCUUAACAAAUAAAAUGGAGUGCCCUGUGCCCAAAUAUUUAUAAUUUUAUGCCUGAUUCCUGAACCUCAGAACCUGAUACGGUGAGGUGAGCAGUUGAGGCUUGAGAGAGGCGGAGAGCAGAGAAUCAGAGAGAGGCUGAUAUGAGAACAGACUGAACAGUGGAGACUGGAGACUAGAGAGAGGCGGAGAGCAGAGACUAGAGAGAAAGGCAAUUGCCUAACUCGCCUAAGGGAAGGGCCGGCCCUGAUUGGUUUGGAGAACAAACAUUCAAACUGUUUUAAAGGAAUCUUGUCCAACCUAUUGUGUUAUGUGGUCAAUAAGAUGACUAUCUUUGGUGGUCAAUUAAGUUUUU